UUUUUUAUAUGGGGGUGCGGAGGGAUCAUUACACAACAAAAAUAUGAGGGUGUGGUUUGCUGGCAACAGCGUCCGCCCCAAGUAUUUUUCACCCAUGUCUUUUGCGCACUUUUUGUUUCCUGGGCGAGUUCGCUCGCCACCAGGACCCAACCAUAAACCUUUUUUUAUGCAGUUGCAAUCAGCGUCAGUAUAAUAAUUCAAUUUAUUAAAACUUUCAACAACGGAUCUCUUGGUUCUGGCAUCGAUGAAGAACGCAGCGAAAUGCGAUACGUAGUGUGAAUUGCAGAAUUCAGUGAAUCAUCGAAUCUUUGAACGCACAUUGCGCCCUUUGGUAUUCCAAAGGGCAUGCCUGUUCGAGCGUCAUUUGUACCCUCAAGCUUUGCUUGGUGUUGGGCGUCUUUUUGUCUCUCCCCUUGUUGGGGGAGACUCGCCUUAAAACGAUUGGCAGCCGACCUACUGGUUUUCGGAGCGCAGCACAAAUUUGCGCCUUCCAAUCCACGGGGCGGCAUCCAGCAAGCCUUUGUUUUCUAUAACAAAUCCACAUUUUGACCUCGGAUCAGGUAGGGAUACCCGCUGAACUUAAGCAUAUCAAAGG
rnacentral:rRNA from 1 species